AUGAUAGAGAACCUACUGCCAGCAAUACAAGCAGCUUGGCCUGAGAAUGAUGCUGGACAAACCAUCUACAUACAGCAAGACAACGCUAAGCCCCAUAUCUUGCAUAAUGAUCCAGAAUUUGUAGCAGCUGUCGAAAGAACUGGAUUGGACAUCAAAAUAAUCCAACAGCCUGCCAAUAGCCCUGAUUUGAAUGGGCUUGACCUUGGGUUCUUCAAUUCAUUGCAAUCUCUAACAGAUUGUCUAAGCCCUAGAACACUUCAAGAUCUUAUCAAGGGUGUACUAGAUGAAUUUGAAAACUAUGAGGUUUAUAAGCUGAACAGAGUUUUCCUAUCUCUACAAGCUUGCAUGAUUGAAAUUUUGAACCACGCAGGGGGCAACGGGUAUAAGAUACCACAUGUGAACAAAGAAAGGCUUGAGAACUCUGGAUUGCUACCUCCAAGACUUAGAUGCCCUCGAGAUAUUUAUACAAAUGCCCUACACAACUUACAGCUAAUGGAGAGAGUUCAGUAA
rnacentral:rRNA from 1 species